rnacentral:lncRNA from 1 species
GCGCCGCCGCACGCGCUCCGCGACUUCAUCGCCGCCGCGCAGCAGCUUGACGACACACUCGUGCAGGGUUCGACGCCGGCGCUGCUGCAGUGCCCGGCCGUGGCCGGCGGUCGCCUCGUGUUGGCGCCCACCGGUCCGCUUACCGCCUACGACGACGUCCGGUAAGUGUAAAAUUUCCGAAGCGUGGAUUUAAAAAAAAAAUAGUAAAUUAUUUCUACCGAAUCAUCGUAUCGCUCUUUGCCGGAAAUUACCAUAACAUAGCGUAAUAUCCGACGGGGGUUACUGUCUUUAGAAGUUCAUAAGUCGAGUGGGCCAGACUUCAUUCCGGCAGUGGUCCUAAAGCAGUGUACUCCGGAACUAUAUCCCUUUAAUUUACAGGCCUAUUGCGAUGCACAGUUACCCUGAUACUUUGAGGAUCGCGAUUUGUUGAAUGACCACCAACACGGUUUUCGCCACAGUUGCUCAAACUGGUGAUUUCUUGGUAUAUCUCACGAACCGAUGCUUUAGCCAUUGAGAGUUAAAGUAAGGCACUUGCUAUCGGUCUUGGCGUUGCAAAGGUAUUUGACCGGAUCUGGCAUCUUAAUGCCGGCAAAUUGCCCAACUAUGGACUUUCCAAGAGUCUGUAUAAAUGGAUUGCAUCUGUUUGUUCGGUAGACGUAUAAAAACCGAUGUAAAUAGUUGCUGCUUCGAUAGCAUGGAUAUUAAUGCUAGCGUCCCGCAGGGCUCUGCGCUAUCCUCGACGCUGUUUCUGCUGCAUAUUAAUGAUGUUAAUAUUAGAUGACAUUCAUUGUUAUGCAAAUAACAGCACUGGGGAUAUUCAUUAUCACUGGGGACAUCAUUCCAAUGUCCCUCGUUCCAUCGUGGAGGAUAAUUGUGAACAACUUGUAUCUGAAAUCAAGAGAACGCAAGCUAGGGUCUCUGAUUGAGGAUGGCGAAACUUAGUCCAGUUUAACUCCGCUAAGACAUAAGUAUACAGCAUGGAAAAAAA